GUAACAUUGCGCACGCGUAUUUCUCACUUUACGUGAAGCUGUUAGCUUUCGGCAACCUGACUCCUUUUUUCAUUAAAUAAGAUGGCUUUGUGACGCGAAGGCAACACUAGCACAACGAUGGCUAGCACCGGCUUGUGCGAAGAGGCGUUGUUAUCCCGUUUCUCCGCUAGAGAGAAGAGGAAUGCACCUCUGCGAGCGAGCGGCCACGGUGUAACCCGAUGAUCCCCACGGAUCCGCCUCGGCAGUCUCGUCGCCGGGGAUGGAGGUUCCCCGCUGGACCUGAUCUACGAUGCGCUCAGCCUUCGGACAGGGUCUCGGCAGUACAGUAGUCAUUAAAAAUCCACCGGCGGCUUGGUGUGUUUAUCACCAAACAUGGACGUAGGCCACACAGAGUGUGCGAAUGAAACCUGAGAAAGUUGUCUUAGUUGGAGAGCAGUUCCUCCCCGGCAAAAAAAAAAAAAAAAAUGUAAAAUUAAAAAAAGAUGGAGAACCCCCUGUUCUUUUACCUGCAAAACGUUCUUUCAACUACUUUUGCUGCAUUCCGAUUUUGUGUAAUUCCAAGGAGUCAAAAGUCAAAUAAUGGUGGUCUUCCUCUGCAAAGCCUCGACCUGUUGCUCCACCGGAGGAUUAUUGGAAUAUAUUCCAGCGCGCGUCCACGGGAUGCACAUUCCCUCUCAUUUGCCCCCAAAGUCUUGCUCUCUGAGCUCUGC